AAUAGAGGAACUCAGGCUAAGAACUUCACAUCCUGUGAAAACGCCUGACCUAAAGCCUCCGG
rnacentral:sRNA from 1 species